GGCAGAUCCCUUGCCUCACGGCAGUGAGUACAUGUAUCCUGGCACAUCGAAGCUCCAGCUAGAUUGGGUUCCAAUAUUGCUGAUCUCUAACAGGACACUCUUGUAAAUGAAGCGUUAUCCUCAGAGAUUUUCUUGGCUGAAAAUAUUGUCUGGCUAAUUUCUACAGUCGAGUUUUGACUGUGAAAUGGCACUGAAGUUCAGCAGGACACAUUUCCUGUCUAUAUCCAUGGCUGUGGUGCAACUGUAAUAGGUUAUAGUACUCAGUGAAGCUUAAUGUAAAGACACCUCUACUGUAUGACUCUACAGUUCUCUCCCUGAGUAUGCAUGCUGUCCAGAGAAAUUCUUGCUUCAGUUCAUAAUGGGUUGUACAAGAAAAAGAAAAGGAGGAGGCAGAAAGAAGAAACAGAUGAAAGAAAAGAGAAGAGGCUGAAGCAAACAUGUUAGUCUCAGUCCUGAAUAGCUGAAUAGCUAAGGAUAUAAUUUAAGG